rnacentral:rRNA from 1 species
AACGCUGGCGGCGUGGUUUAGGCAUGCAAGUCGAGCGCGAAAGUGAGCUUCGGUUCACGAGUAGAGCGGCGCAAGGGUGAGUAAUGCAUAAGCAACCUACCCCUGACUCCGGUAUAGCGUCUGGAAACGGACGGUAAUCCCGGAUGGUCUCCUAGGAACGAAUGUUCUCUGGAGUAAAGAUAGGGAUCUUCGGACCUUUCGGUCGGGGAGGGGCUUAUGUCCCAUCAGCUUGUUGGUGAGGUAACGGCUCACCAAGGCUAUGACGGGUAGCCGGACUGAGAGGUUGGCCGGUCACACUGGGACUGAGACACUGCCCAGACUCCUACGGGAGGCUGCAGUCGAGGAUCUUCCGCAAUGGUCGAAAGACUGACGGAGCGACGCCGCGUGGAGGAUGAAGGCCUUCGGGUUGUAAACUCCUGUCAGGGGUUAGGAAUGUCAGUGCGUUAAUAGCGUGCUGGUUGACAAAGGCCCCAAAGGAAGCCACGGCUAACUCUGUGCCAGCAGCCGCGGUAAU